GCGUGGUCAAGCACCGGUCUGUGACAGGAGGGCGGAGUUGGGGAAGGUAAGUGGCAGAAUCGCUUCACCUGAGUGUGAUUAAUCUAUGUUUUGUGUGUGUUCUCCCCAGUAAACCGGGCUAUUUAAGGAGGGAGAGCGAGAGCAGAGGAGCUCUACAACCCGAGCACCGGAAUGUGUGUGUGUGUGUGUGUCUGAGAGAGAAAACCGCUUCCGCUGAAAAGUGAGAAUAAAACUGUUUUGCGAACUCAGUCUUUGUCCUGCCGUCCUCUGUGCUCCACCCACAUCCAGCGAACAUUUACAGUGGUGCCGAAACCCGGGAUCGUGGAGCACCUGUCCUGCAGCCCCAUGGAAUCCUCCCCGUUCGCGGACUUGAUCCACGCCCUCGCCACGGCUCAGCAGAGCCAGCACCAGGCACUCGUCACGCUCCGGAAGGAGCAGGAGCAGCGCUUCGAAGCCCUGGUGCUGGCUCAACAGGAAGACCGAGAGGCGUUCCGGCGCCUCCUCGCGUCGGCGGGGUCCACCAGCGCACCGGCCGCGGGCCCGUCUCCCAUCACCUUGACUAAGAUGGGCCCGCAGGACGACCCCGAGGCAUUCAUCGCGUUGUUCGAACAGGUCGCCGAAGCCUCGGGGUGGCCGGUGGAGCAGCGCGCGGCGCGCCUCCUCCCCCUCCUGACGGGAGAGGCGCAGUUAGCCGCACUACAGCUCCCCGCCGACCACCGGCUGGCCUACGCCGACCUUCGCCGGGCUGUCCUCCAGCGCGUGGGGCGCACGCCGGAGCAGCAGCGCCAGCGCUUCCGCGCGCUGCGAAUGGAGGAAGUCGGCAGCCCAUUCGCGUUCGGCCAGCAGCUCCGGGACGCCUGCUGGCGGUGGCUGAGGGCCGAAGAUCGCGACGCCGAGGGGAUCAUCGACCAGGUGGCGCUGGAACAAUUCAUCGCCCGCCUACCCGCCGGAACCGCGGAGUGGGUCCAGUGCCACCGCCCGGCGUCGCUGGAUCAGGCCGUAGGACUGGCGGAGGAUCAUCUGGCGGCUGUCCCGGCGGCAGGACAACGGCUGUCAUCUUCUCUCUCCUCUUCUCUCUCUCUCUCUCUUCCCCCUCCUCCCGUGUCCCGUCCUCGCCCCAUUCCCCCACCACGGAGGCGGGGGCCGGCUCCACCCCAGCCGGCCCACCGCACCCGUGGUGCCCUCCCGUUUCUCCCUUCUGUGUCUGUCUCUCCCCCCCCUCAGGUGAGUGACCCUCAAACCACAGCUGCAGAGGGGAGGCCCGGGCCGGUUUGCUGGCGCUGCGGGGAACCGGGCCACCUGCAGCAACAGUGUGUCGCGAUGGAGGUGGGGGCGGUGGUGCGGAUCCCCGACGCGCCAGAGGCUGCCCUCGAUCAGGCCGGAGCAUAUCGCAUACCGUAAACCGGGCUAUUUAAGGAGGGAGAGCGAGAGCAGAGGAGCUCUACAACCCGAGCACCGGAAUGUGUGUGUGUGUGUGUGUGUGUCUGAGAGAGAAAACCGCUUCCGCUGAAAAGUGAGAAUAAAACUGUUUUGCGAACUCAGUCUUUGUCCUGCCGUCCUCUGUGCUCCACCCACAUCCAGCGAACAUUUACACCAUAUUUAGAACAAACCUACUACAAGCUCGUCAAAAACACGCCCUGGCUGCUUGUGGACAGUUUCCCUUCGCAAGAACCUCGACCAACUGCCGUUUACGGGCCACAAGGACUUCUCUUGACUUGUUGAACUCAGGGUCCAUGAAGAUAUUUAGUUUCAAGCCGGACUGAUUCAGAUAGCGCUCGAUACUUCUCUGGAAAGACGUGAUCGAGGACGGCUCGUACACAUCGCCAUUUUUCUUUGUUGUGGACAUGAAAAAGUUGCACAGCAACAUGUUUAGUUCUUCGCCAGCACAGCACAUCUUCUCACUCAGUCUCCUGUCUCGCCUGCUGCUCCUCUCUGCUGCACAGCCUCAGUCUCAGUGCAA